GGUGCUCAUUAGAGAAUGAGUUUACUAAAUUGACCUGUGAGAGAAUAAUCAGAUGGAUUCUUAUUUACAUGUCAACUAAUAAUUCUUUAGUGAGUAUUGUGUAAGUGAUCCUUUGAUCUGAAGUCACCAUGGUACCUUAUAUACAUAGAUCCAUAUUUUGGUUCACUAUCUAACUUGAUUCUCUGAUGCUUGUAUGGGGUGUUCUGGAUAUGGUGAAAUAUGCAUGAAGAUUGUGAGUGAUCAAUAAGGGAUCAGUCACUCCUAAUAAGGGGAGCGAACAUCCUAUGUGAUCUCAUAGGAUAGUGAUUCCAGAAAUCUU
rnacentral:lncRNA from 1 species